CGCGUAGGUGGUAGUGAAAGUCUAUGGUGGAAUCUUAGGGCUUAACCCUAAAACUGCCUUGGAAACUUCAUUACUUGAGUCAGUGAGGGGAGGGUAGAAUUCCUGGUGUAGCGGUGAAAUGCGUAGAUAUCAGGAGGAAGGCCGGUGGCGAAGGCGGCCCUCUGGCGCUGAACUGGCGCUGAGGCGCGAAAGCGUGGGUAGCAAACAGGAUUAGAUACCCUGGUAGUCCACGCCCUAAACGGUGGGUACUAGGUGUAGGGCUCGUAAGGGUUCUGUGCUGAAGGGAAACCAUUAAGUACCCCGCCUGGGGAGUACGGCCGCAAGGUUGAA
rnacentral:rRNA from 1 species